CCUACGGGAGGCAGCAGUGAGGAAUAUUGGUCAAUGGACGUAAGUCUGAACCAGCCAAGUAGCGUGCAGGAUGACUGCCCUAUGGGUUGUAAACUGCUUUUAUGCGGGGAUAAAGUCAGCCACGUGUGGUUGUUUGCAGGUACCGCAUGAAUAAGGACCGGCUAAUUCCGUGCCAGCAGCCGCGGUAAUACGGAAGGUCCAGGCGUUAUCCGGAUUUAUUGGGUUUAAAGGGAGCGUAGGCUGUUGGUUAAGCGUGUUGUGAAAUGUAGAUGCUCAACAUCUGAAUUGCAGCGCGAACUGUCCGACUUGAGUGCGCGGAAAGCAGGCGGAAUUCGUUGUGUAGCGGUGAAAUGCUUAGAUAUGACGAAGAACUCCGAUUGCGAAGGCAGCUUGCUGUAGCGUAACUGACGCUGAAGCUCGAAAGUGCGGGUAUCGAACAGGAUUAGAUACCCUUGUAGUC
rnacentral:rRNA from 1 species